CCUUUUGAGUAUUAUAGAAGGUAACGCCUGCCCAGUGACUAUAUGUUAAACGGCCGCGGUAUACUGACCGUGCAAAGGUAGCGUAAUCACUUGUCUUUUAAAUGAAGACUAGUAUGAAUGGCAUCACGAGAACUAAACUGUCUCCCUCCCCCAAUCAGUGAAACUGAUCUCCCCGUGCAGAAGCGGGGAUAACAUCAUAAGACGAGAAGACCCUGUGGAGCUUCAAAUCAAAAAUCAACUGCUUUACCAACCCUACCCAAAGGAAACACUUACGCAGAUCUGACUUAGAUUUUCAGCUGGGGCGUCUGUGGAGAAAAAGAAAUCCUCCACGAAUAUCUAUGCUAAAAGCCACCGCUACAGGCAUUAAUAAACUUAACUUUAAUUGACCCAAUUUUUGAUCAACGGACCAAGUUACCCCAGGGAUAACAGCGCAAUCCACUUUCAGAGUUCCUAUCGACAAGUGGGCUUACGACCUCGAUGUUGGAUCAGGGCAUCCAAGUGGUGCAGCCGCUACUAAAGGUUCGUUUGUUCAACGAUUAAAGCCCUACGUGAUCUGAGUCAGACG
rnacentral:rRNA from 1 species